CAUCAGUUUUUUAAAAUGACUACCUUGCUCUUUCCCUGUGGGGACCCCGUGUGCAAUGGAUGCAAACAGUAGCCUCCUUGGUAGUGAAUGCAGCCUGUUGACUGUAUGGGUUGCCCUAAGGGACCUUGGAGACAGCC
rnacentral:snoRNA from 2 species